CACCCGAGGCUACUUCCGGCCUCCUAGGCCCGGAAGAACCAGCUUCCUGGACGCGGAAUCCUGGGUCGUCUCUUCCCUGGUGCGGGGGUGGGGGGGCCACUGGGUCCUUGGCCCUGUUCCCGGCUCCCUGCUGAGGGGCUUGUAGAGGCCGGACCAGAAGAAGAAAGGUGAUAAGACCGAGGGCCGAGAAUUUCGCGGAGGUAGCCGCGUAUUUCUUCCCUGAGGAAUGGGGGUGUCUCCGGCCCCCGCCGAGGCCGGUGUGCCGGGACGUGAUCCGGGAGACCUAUAGCCAACCUGGCUGCGCUCGGCCGGACUACUCUCCAGUGCCUUCCCAGGACUUUCUGCAAAACGUUCAGAAUCUGUGUACUACGGCGUCAAGGCCCGUGGCCUGCUAACCUCCAAUUCAAACGCAAUCUCUCCCUACAAACAAAUGAUCCCAUCGGUUCCAGCUACAAGGAAUCUGUUUUUUGGACAUCUAACUUAAUGAGCUAAUCUAACACCUUUCAAUGCCCUUUUCAAAUGCCGUUUUUAAUAAAUUCCCCCUGGAACUCUUCUGCCCCAUGCAGGAAGUCUCAGCUGCA